UCUCCGCUAAAUUCGUUGCUAAUUCUGAUCAUACGUUGUGAUAUCGGAUCCUAAAACCAGUGCUAAACGGACACACAGUGACUCGAACAAUCCUAACUCAUCUGGGUGUAAAAUUGGCUUAAUAAAACUUGUAAUAGUGGUGAUGCAGGACGCAACAAGUCGAACCGGUAGCCAUUGUGAAUUAUUUUUGAAUUCUUGUCGAAACUCGAGUAUCUCCACGGUGGACUCAAAGUGCAUAAUUAGUGCAUACAAAUAACUGGAAGAAUAAGCACCAGAUCUCCGCUCUUCCUGCUACGUGAAUUGAGCUCAGAGUCUGCAGCACACAGCAGGGAAGAAUCUCAAAGCUACCUGACCUGUUCAGCAGACUCCAAUCGGAUCUCUAAUAUUCGCUAGACUCAGGAAAAAUUGACAAUCGUUUUUACUGCAUCCGAUGUAGUCACCUCGUCCAUAGCUGAUCAUCGAUCAUCCACAUAAAGUGGGAAAUCUUGCAUCGUUCUUCGUGGGAGCAUCUCAUCCAUACAACGUGUUUCAACCUACUACACAGCUAUAGCCAUCAGGGAGGCAGAGACAUCCGGGUAAAAUCCAAGACCCCCGAGACCUGGGAACCGGCUCGGGUCUGGUCUUGGUACCGGCAGCGAUGGUGAGUCCCAGCACUCAAAGUUCCUCGACUUCUUUGCCAGCUCACACGAUGGUGAACGCUGGCAUCGGGUCGUUGUAUUUUAUAUUGUGUCAUUCCUCUGUUCCCUUUUUGUAACAUGGCGUGGCGGUACCCUGAAUUGCAAUUUUAUUAGAUCAGGUAAUAGUAGGGUUGGUUGCUGUUGAGCAUAGCGCACGUGCACCCUUUAGCGUCAAACAUAUAAAACUCUUCCUUGAAAUUAAUCAGUCAAAAAACCAAUGAAUGAUUAAGUCAGUCAGUCAGUUUAUUAAUUAGUCAGUCAGUUAUUUGAGCAAUCAGUCAACUAUUAGUUCAUCGAAUAUGAACUAUUCAGAUAAAUCACAUCUUAGAUAAAUUUAAGUGCAAGAGUGUGCAGCUCAUAGGCAACGGUAAAGGCCGUCGUUCAAUCGACUCUCGCGUUUUAUAAAUUUUCUAUAAUUUUCGGUGACCGAUCUCGUUUGCGUCGAUCACUGAUCGGUAUUAAAAUUUUGUCGUGCGAAUGAUGGUCAUUACCAUAGAUUCAGCUUUUUCAGGUACAUCAGGAAUUGACUUGGAUAGCUUCCGCGAAGUCAGAAUUCAUUUAGUCUCAAUUUAAUGAUCAGCCAUCAGCUGAAUCAAUUUUGAAUUUGAUCUCUAUAUUUUUUUUAUCUAUUUGCAUGUUUAAAAUUUCAAUUCUUUCAACUCAAUUUUGAUCAAACUUGAACCCGUCUUUAGGUACCGAUAAGUAAAUUCACUAGAACUAUAACAGGAUGUCUAAUCAUUUCAGGAAUUUUCUUCCCUUACACACAAUUUUUAGCCCUUAACUUUUUCUUGCUUAAUGAAUAUUAUAUGAGAUUAAUUAAUCUCAUUUUCUUACUGAUGAUAUUUACUCAAGAGUAAAUUUACUAAAUUCAUUUAAAGAUCAUUGAUGUUUUUUAAAUUUCGGCCAGAUAGCAAACACACCUUUUCUCAAAAUUUAAAUAAAUUACGGCUUCGGCCGGGGCAUGGGCAGCCUUUAUAUUUCUACACACACAACAGGUCAACAGUAAGUUUUUUGAACGAGAUACCACGGCAAUGAAUGUGAGAUGUGAGUGAGACGAAAUUCUCGGUGCGCCGGCGCAAGUAUGAAUUGGGGUUUACG